rnacentral:SRP_RNA from 1 species
GCUGGGCAUUGUGACUCAUGCCUGUAAUCCUAGCACCUUGGGAGGCCGAGGCGGGCGGAUCACCAGAGGUCAGGAGUUCGAGUCCAGCCUGGCCAACAUGGUGAAACCCCGUCUCUA